rnacentral:rRNA from 1 species
UCUAGAGAUUAGAGUUUGAUCCUGGCUCAGAUUGAACGCUGGCGGCAGGCCUAACACAUGCAAGUCGAACGGUAACAGGAAGCAGCUUGCUGCUUCGCUGACGAGUGGCGGACGGGUGAGUAAUGUCUGGGAAACUGCCUGAUGGAGGGGGAUAACUACUGGAAACGGUAGCUAAUACCGCAUAACGUCGCAAGACCAAAGAGGGGGACCUUCGGGCCUCUUGCCAUCAGAUGUGCCCAGAUGGGAUUAGCUAGUAGGUGGGGUAACGGCUCACCUAGGCGACGAUCCCUAGCUGGUCUGAGAGGAUGACCAGCCACACUGGAACUGAGACACGGUCCAGACUCCUACGGGAGGCAGCAGUGGGGAAUAUUGCACAAUGGGCGCAAGCCUGAUGCAGCCAUGCCGCGUGUAUGAAGAAGGCCUUCGGGUUGUAAAGUACUUUCAGCGGGGAGGAAGGCGAUGUGGUUAAUAACCACGUCGAUUGACGUUACCCGCAGAAGAAGCACCGGCUAACUCCGUGCCAGCAGCCGCGGUAAUACGGAGGGUGCAAGCGUUAAUCGGAAUUACUGGGCGUAAAGCGCACGCAGGCGGUCUGUCAAGUCGGAUGUGAAAUCCCCGGGCUCAACCUGGGAACCGCAUCCGAAACUGGCAGGCUUGAGUCUCGUAGAGGGGGGUAGAAUUCCAGGUGUAGCGGUGAAAUGCGUAGAGAUCUGGAGGAAUACCGGUGGCGAAGGCGGCCCCCUGGACGAAGACUGACGCUCAGGUGCGAAAGCGUGGGGAGCAAACAGGAUUAGAUACCCUGGUAGUCCACGCCGUAAACGAUGUCGACUUGGAGGUUGUGCCCUUGAGGCGUGGCUUCCGGAGCUAACGCGUUAAGUCGACCGCCUGGGGAGUACGGCCGCAAGGUUAAAACUCAAAUGAAUUGACGGGGGCCCGCACAAGCGGUGGAGCAUGUGGUUUCAUUCGAUGCAACGCGAAGAACCCUACCUGGUCUUGACAUCCACAGAACUUUCCAGAGAUGGAUUGGUGCCUUCGGGAACUGUGAGACAGGUGCUGCAUGGCUGUCGUCAGCUCGUGUUGUGAAAUGUUGGGUUAAGUCCCGCAACGAGCGCAACCCUUAUCCUUUGUUGCCAGCGGUCCGGCCGGGAACUCAAAGGAGACUGCCAGUGAUAAACUGGAGGAAGGUGGGGAUGACGUCAAGUCAUCAUGGCCCUUACGACCAGGGCUACACACGUGCUACAAUGGCGCAUACAAAGAGAAGCAAUCUCGCGAGAGUUAGCGGACCUCAUAAAGUGCGUCGUAGUCCGGAUUGGAGUCUGCAACUCGACUCCAUGAAGUCGGAAUCGCUAGUAAUCGUGAAUCAGAAUGUCACGGUGAAUACGUUCCCGGGCCUUGUACACACCGCCCGUCACACCAUGGGAGUGGGUUGCAAAAGAAGUAGGUAGCUUAACCUUCGGGAGGGCGCUUACCACUUUGUGAUUCAUGACUGGGGUG